rnacentral:lncRNA from 10 species
AGACAGGGUCUUACUCUGUUGUCCAGGCUGGAGUGUGGUGGCUCCAUCAUGAUCACAUCAUCAUUGUGAUCUCAAGCUCCUGGGCUUAAGUGAUACUUAUGUGUCAGCCUCCUAUAGUUUGGAGAUGAAGGUUAAUGGACUGAUGGUGAUGGAAAAGAUAGCUCAGAGAUAUUUCAAGCAGGCUGCAAGAAUCUCCCAAUUUCGUCCAUCACAAAUCCAUCGUUGAUCCUGGAUGCAGGCUUCAGCUGGCAAAGGAAAGGAAAUACAGAGUUCAAAGCAAGUUUUAUUGUUAAGAUUACAUAGCAUCCUUCGGUUCUCCAAUUUGACUCUGGGAAGCUCUGUUCCCAAGCUACCAAGUGUCUGAGACUACACCUACUUGCUCAAUAGCUUAUCAUGACUAAUGACCAUGGAUGAUGUCCCUGAAGACAAGAGUCCACAGAUACACAUUUUGGAUAUGCCACCUAGAGAUGAUGUAAGUGUUGUCAAGUUUCCUUUCCUGGAUUUUAUGUUCUUCAGGAUGAGAAACAGAAGUACAUAAUUUGGCAAAAAGAAAAGUGAUUCUCCUUUUGCCUAAGAGGCAAAUGUUUUAGUGAUGUGCACAAUGAAAACACUACAAAUUCCAACUGGUAUGUGAUGCUGUUCUAAAUGUGGGAGGUAAGAAUGUCUGGGGAAAAGGAAU